UCACUUAGUGUGUGUAUAUAUGUAUACAUACAUGUAUGUGUGUAAGUACAUGUAUUUGUGUGCAUGUAUGCCUACAUAUGUGUGUGCAUGCAUAUGUAUAU
rnacentral:miRNA from 1 species